CAGAUGCUGUAUUCCUGAUUUUGUACAAAGAGUUAUACUACAGGCACAUAUAUGCCAAAGUCAGCGGAGGACCCUCCUUAGAACAGAGAUUUGAGUCCUAUUACAACUACUGCAAUCUCUUCAACUACAUUCUUAAUGCUGAUGGGCCUGCUCCUCUUGAACUGCCCAACCAGUGGCUGUGGGACAUCAUCGAUGAGUUCAUCUACCAGGUAUCUGUCAGCUAGAGCAACCAGUACCA